rnacentral:rRNA from 1 species
GAUGAACGCUAGCGGCAGGCUUAACACAUGCAAGUCGAGGGGCAGCAUAAAUAGUAGCAAUACUAUUGGUGGCGACCGGCGGACGGGUGCGUAACGCGUAUACAACCUUCCCUAAACAGGGGGAUAAUCUGGAGAAAUUCGGUCUAAUACCCCAUAACAUCAGAGCAGGCAUCUGUUUUGGUUAAAAUUUCCGGAGGUUCAGGAUGGGUAUGCGUAGCAUUAGCUAGUUGGUGAGGUAACGGCUCACCAAGGCGACGAUGCUUAGGGGGACUGAGAGGUUAACCCCCCACACUGGAACUGAGACACGGACCAGACUCCUACGGGAGGCAGCAGUGAGGAAUAUUGGUCAAUGGGCGGAAGCCUGAACCAGCCAUGCCGCGUGCAGGAUGACGGCUCUAUGAGUUGUAAACUGCUUUUGUACGAGGGUAAAGUGGGCUACGUGUAGCCUUUUGAAAGUAUCGUACGAAUAAGGAUCGGCUAACUCCGUGCCAGCCGCCGCGGUAA